UACGUAGGGGGCAAGCGUUGUCCGGAAUUAUUGGGCGUAAAGAGCUCGUAGGCGGUGUGUCGCGUCGGCCGUGAAAACCUGCAGCUUAACUGUGGGCUUGCGGUCGAUACGGGCAUCACUGGAGUUCGGCAGGGGAGACUGGAAUUCCUGGUGUAGCGGUGAAAUGCGCAGAUAUCAGGAAGAACACCGGUGGCGAAGGCGGGUCUCUGGGCCGAUACUGACGCUGAGGAGCGAAAGCGUGGGGAGCGAACAGG
rnacentral:rRNA from 1 species